AGCCUUCCGUAUCCGUGCUGAGGUUUCGUCACAUACCAGACCACAAGGGUUGGUGCGACUUCCAAGAUGAGUGAAGCG
rnacentral:pre_miRNA from 1 species